rnacentral:rRNA from 1 species
AGAGGAUGAUCAGCCACAAUGGGACUGAGACACGGCCCAUACUCCUACGGGAGGCAGCAGUGGGGAAUAUUGCGCAAUGGGCGAAAGCCUGACGCAGCAACGCCGCGUGAUUGAUAAAGCCCUUCGGGGUGUAAAGAUCUGUCAGUGGGGACGAAACUUGACGGUACCCACAGAGGAAGCACCGGCUAACUCCGUGCCAGCAGCCGCGGUAAUACGGAGGGUGCAAGCGUUGUCCGGAAUCAUUGGGCGUAAAGAGUUCGUAGGUGGUUUGUUAAGUUUGGUGUUAAAUGCAGAGGCUCAACUUCUGUUCGGCAUCGGAUACUGGCAGACUAGAAUGCGGUAGAGGUAAAGGGAAUUCCUGGUGUAGCGGUGAAAUGCGUAGAUAUCAGGAGGAACAUCGGUGGCGUAAGCGCUUUACUGGGCCGUAAUUGACACUGAGGAACGAAAGCCAGGGUAGCAAAUGGGAUUAGAUACCCCAGUAGUCCUGGCCGUAAACGAUGGAUACUAGGUGUUGCGGGUAUCGACCCCUGCAGUGCCGUAGCAAACGCGUUAAGUAUCCCGCCUGGGGAGUACGCACGCAAGUGUGAAACUCAAAGGAAUUGACGGGGACCCGCACAAGCGGUGGAACAUGUGGUUUAAUUCGAAGCAACGCGAAGAACCUUACCAGGGCUUGACAUCUAACAAACCUUUGUGAAAGCAGAGGGUGCUCUUCGGAGAAUGUUAAGACAGGUGGUGCACGGUUGUCGUCAGCUCGUGUCGUGAGAUGUUGGGUUAAGUCCCGCAACGAGCGCAACCCUCGUCGUUAGUUGGUACUAUCGGUAUACUUAUAGUAACCUCUCUAGCGAGACUGCCGGUGAUAAACCGGAGGAAGGUGAGGACGACGUCAAAUCAUCAUGCCCCUUAUGCUCUGGGCUACACACGUGUUACAAUGGCCGGUACAAUGAGCCGCCAACUCGCGAGAGUGAGCAAAUCUCUAAAAGCCGGUCUCAGUUCGGAUUGCAGUCUGCAACUCGACUGCAUGAAGUCGGAAUCGCUAGUAAACGCAGAUCAGCACGCUGCGUUGAAUACGUUCCCGGGUCUUGUACACACCGCCCGUCACACCAUGGAAGUCGACCACGCCCGAAGUACGUGAGCUAACCGUAAGGAAGCAGCGUCCUAAGGCAGGGUUGGUGACUGGGGUGAAGUCGUAACAAGGUAGCCGUACCGGAAGGUGUGGCUG